rnacentral:rRNA from 1 species
GACGAACGCUGGCGGCGUGCUUAACACAUGCAAGUCGAACGGAAAGGCCCGGCUUUUGUGGGGUGCUCGAGUGGCGAACGGGUGAGUAACACGUGAGUAACCUGCCCUUGACUUUGGGAUAACUUCAGGAAACUGGGGCUAAUACCGGAUAGGAGAUCCUGCUGCAUGGGGGGGGAUGGAAAGUUUCGGCGGUUGGGGCUGGACUCGCGGCUUAUCCGCUAGUUGGUGAGGUAGUGGCUUACCAAGGCUUCGAGGGGUAGCCGGCCUGGGAGGGUGGUCGGCCACACUGGAACUGAGACACGGGCCAGACUCCUACGGGAGGGAGCAGUAGGGAAUCUUCCGCAAUGGGCGAGAGCCUGACGGAGCAACGCCGAGUGAGUGAAGAAGGUCUUCGGAUCGUAAAACUGUGUUAUUAGGGAAGAACAAAUGUGUAAGUAACUAUGCGCGUCUUGACGGUACCUAAUCAGAAAGCCACGGCUAACUACGUG